UACGGGGGGGGGUAAGCGUUGCUCGGAAUUACUGGGCGUAAAGGGCUCGUAGGCGGCCAACUAAGUCGGACGUGAAAUCCCUCAGCUUAACUGGGGAACUGCGUCCGAUACUGGAUGGCUUGGAUUUGGGAGAGGGAUGCGGAAUUCCAGGUGUAGCGGUGAAAUGCGUAGAGAUCUGGAAGAACACCAAAGGCGAAGGCAGCGUCCUGGGAAGUCACUGACGCUCGGGUGCGAAAGCCAGGGGAGCGAACGGG
rnacentral:rRNA from 1 species